UUCCGGUUGAUCCCCGCCGGAGACUACUGCUAUCAGGGUUCGGCUAAGCCAUGCGAGUCGAGAGGUGUAAGACCUCGGCGAACUGCUCAGUAACACGUAGCUAACCUGCCCUAAAGUGGAGAAUAAACUUGGGAAACUGAGACUAAUACUCCAUAGACGAUUGAGGCUGGAAGGCGCUUUCGUUGAAAGAUUUAUCGCUUUAGGAUGGGGCUGCGGCCUAUCAGCCUGUUGUUGGGAUAAAAGCCCAACAAAGCUAUGACGGGUACGGGUCAUGAGAGUGAUUGCCCGGAGAUGGAUUCUGAGACAUGAAUCCAGGCCCUACGGGGCGCAGCAGGCGCGAAAACUUCUCAAUGGGCGAAAGCCUGAAGAGGGAACCUUGAGUGACAUCGGCUAAGCUGGUGUCUUUUCUUUACUGUAAAUAGGUAGAGGAAUAAGUGGUGGGCAAGACGGUUGCCAGCCGCCGCGGUAAUAACCGCGCCACGAGUUGUAGUCACGAUUAUUGGGUCUAAAGCAUCCGUAGCUGGUUCGACAAGUCUUCGGUGAAAUCCGGCAGUAAACUGUCGGGCGUGCCGAAGAUACUAUCAGACUAGAGACUGGGAGAGGUCUGGGGUACUUCGGAGGUAGGGGUAAAAUCCUUUAAUCUCCGAGGGACCACCUGUGGCGAAGGCGCCAGACUAGAACAGAUCUGACAGUGAGGGAUGAAAGCUAGGGGAGCGAUCGGGAUUAGAUACCCCGGUAGUCCUAGCCGUAAACGAUGCCCGCUUGGUGUUACAGAUUCUUAGCGAAUCUGUUGUGCCGAAGCGAAGGCGAUAAGCGGGCCACCUGGGGAGUACGUCCGCAAGGAUGAAACUUAAGGGAAUUGGCGGGGGAGCACUACCAGGGGUGGAGGCUGCGGUUCAAUUGGAUUCAACGCCGG
rnacentral:rRNA from 1 species